UACGUAGGGUGCGAGCGUUAAUCGGAAUACUGGGCGUAAAGCGUGCGCAGGCGGUUAUGCAAGACAGAUGUGAAAUCCCCGGGCUCAACCUGGGAACUGCAUUUGUGACUGCAUAGCUAGAGUACGGUAGAGGGGGAUGGAAUUCCGCGUGUAGCAGUGAAAUGCGUAGAUAUGCGGAGGAACACCGAUGGCGAAGGCAAUCCCCUGGACCUGUACUGACGCUCAUGCACGAAAGCGUGGGGAGCAAACAGG
rnacentral:rRNA from 1 species